GGCAGGAUUGCUUGUGGCCGUAAGUACCAGAAGGAACACAGAGGCACUUAGCACAGCAUUUUUGGCAGAAGAACAAGCAUGGCUUCUUGUAUUGUGUCUUUGAGCAUCUCACCCCGCACCUCCCUCCACAUUCCGCAUGCAAAUUCUAUUUAUUAAUUGCAUUUCUUUCCACCAAUUAUAUCUUAAUUAACUAGUUAAUUAGAAGUCUUUUAUAUAUACCCUGAGGGUGAAGGCUUCCUUCAGUUGUUCCAGUCUUGAAAUCAAAUUAAACUCAAUAGUACUAGAUCGACAGCCAAAAUCCAAGCAACUAUAAAGAAAGAUUUGGUUCAGUUACAAGGGGAGACUUACAGAAGGGAGGGUGUUAGUACUGUUACUGCCAUUGUUAGGUUGAGGUUGGGGUGCUGGAGACUCGAAGAUAGCUGC
rnacentral:lncRNA from 1 species